rfam:Nostoc sp. PCC 7120 plasmid pCC7120alpha DNA, complete genome.
GGGAGCCGUGUGCAGCGAAAGUUGCACGCACGGAUCUAACAGAGAGGGACGGGGAAUAAUAUCCCCUCUCGACUCUAAC